ACGAACGCUGGCGGCAUGCCUAACACAUGCAAGUCGAACGAGACCUUCGGGUCUAGUGGCGCACGGGUGCGUAACGCGUGGGAAUCUGCCCUUGGGUUCGGAAUAACAGUUGGAAACGACUGCUAAUACCGGAUGAUGACGUAAGUCCAAAGAUUUAUCGCCCAGGGAUGAGCCCGCGUAGGAUUAGCUAGUUGGUGAGGUAAAGGCUCACCAAGGCGACGAUCCUUAGCUGGUCUGAGAGGAUGAUCAGCCACACUGGGACUGAGACACGGCCCAGACUCCUACGGGAGGCAGCAGUGGGGAAUAUUGGACAAUGGGCGAAAGCCUGAUCCAGCAAUGCCGCGUGAGUGAUGAAGGCCUUAGGGUUGUAAAGCUCUUUUACCCGGGAAGAUAAUGACUGUACCGGGAGAAUAAGCUCCGGCUAACUCCGU
rnacentral:rRNA from 1 species